CAGGACCAUAACGCAUAUGCAUGUGAAAAUGCAAAAGCGGCUGCAAUUCUUGACGCUAAUGCUUGUGUUCAAGUAACACUUCUGCCAAAACCUGAAUGGCAUGGAAGCUAGCUAUUCACACUGCACUGCACUCUUACAUUGCUUAGCAUUUAUUGAAUUGUAAAAAAACUAAUGUUCUGAUGUUAUAUUUUUAUGGACAUGUUAUUCUACUUCUACUACUGUACUGUUUAAUGCUAUUACUUAUGUUUUGUUGUUUUA
rnacentral:lncRNA from 1 species